UGCCUGAUAGCUCAGUGGUAAAGCGUCUGUCUGGUAAUCAGGAGAUCACGGGGUCUCAGUCAA
rfam:Asian citrus Psyllid, Diaphorina citri - Florida Strain, whole genome shotgun sequence.